UACGUAGGGGGCAAGCGUUGUCCGGAUUUAUUGGGCGUAAAGAGCUCGUAGGCGGCUUGGCAAGUCGGGUGUGAAAACUUCAGGCUCAACCUGGAGCGGCCACUCGAUACUGCCAUGGCUUGAGUCCGGUAGGGGACCACGGAAUUCCUGGUGUAGCGGUGAAAUGCGCAGAUAUCAGGAGGAACACCAGUGGCGAAGGCGGUGGUCUGGGCCGGAACUGACGCUGAGGAGCGAAAGCGUGGGUA
rnacentral:rRNA from 1 species